CCUACGGGCGGCAGCAGUGGGGAAUAUUGCGCAAUGGGCGAAAGCCUGACGCAGCGACGCCGCGUGAGGGAUGAAGGUCUUCGGAUCGUAAACCUCUGUCAGCAGGGAAGAACGGUCACUGUGCUAAUCAGCAGUGAAUUGACGGUACCUGCAAAGGAAGCACCGGCUAACUCCGUGCCAGCAGCCGCGGUAAUACGGAGGGUGCGAGCGUUAAUCGGAUUUACUGGGCGUAAGGCGCUCGUAGGCGGGAUUUCAAGUCAAGGGUGAAAUCCCCGCGCUCAACGUGGGAACUGCCUGUGAAACUGACUAACUAGAGUGUGUGAGAGGAUAGUGGAAUUCCAGGUGUAGGAGUGAAAUCCGUAGAUAUCAGGAGGAACAUCAGUGGCGAAGGCGACUAACUGGCACGUAACUGACGCUGAGGAGCGAAAGCGUGGGUAGCAAACAGGAUUAGAUACCCGAGUAGUC
rnacentral:rRNA from 1 species